rnacentral:rRNA from 1 species
AUGAACGCUGGCGGCGUGCCUAAUACAUGCAAGUCGAGCGAACAGAUGAGGAGCUUGCUCCUCUGACGUUAGCGGCGGACGGGUGAGUAACACGUGGAUAACCUACCUAUAAGACUGGGAUAACUUCGGGAAACCGGAGCUAAUACCGGAUAAUAUAUUGAACCGCAUGGUUCAAUAGUGAAAGACGGUUUUGCUGUCACUUAUAGCUGGAUCCGCGCCGGAUUAGCUAGUUGGUAAGGUAACGGCUUACCAAGGCAACGAUGCGUAGCCGACCUGAGAGGGUGAUCGGCCACACUGGAACUGAGACACGGUCCAGACUCCUACGGGAGGCAGCAGUAGGGAAUCUUACGCAAUGGGCGAAAGCCUGACGGAGCAACGCCGCGUGAGUGAUGAAGGUCUUCGGAUCGUAAAACUCUGUUAUUAGGGAAGAACAAAUGUGUAAGUAACUAUGCACGUCUUGACGGUACCUAAUCAGAAAGCCACGGCUAACUACGUG